CUACACAUGCAGUCGAGCGGUAACAGGGGGUGCUUGCACCCCGCUGACGAGCGGCGGACGGGUGAGUAAUGCAUAGGAAUCUGCCCAGUAGUGGGGGAUAGCCCGGGGAAACCCGGAUUAAUACCGCAUACGCCCUUUGGGGGAAAGCAGGGGAUCUUCGGACCUUGCGCUAUUGGAUGAGCCUAUGUCGGAUUAGCUAGUUGGUGGGGUAAAGGCCUACCAAGGCGACGAUCCGUAGCUGGUCUGAGAGGAUGAUCAGCCACAUCGGGACUGAGACACGGCCCGAACUCCUACGGGAGGCAGCAGUGGGGAAUAUUGGACAAUGGGGGCAACCCUGAUCCAGCCAUGCCGCGUGUGUGAAGAAGGCUUUCGGGUUGUAAAGCACUUUCAGUGAGGAGGAAAACCUUCUGGUUAAUACCCAUGAGGCUUGACGUUACUCACAGAAGAAGCACCGGCUAACUCCGUGCCAGCAGCCGCGGUAAUACGGAGGGUGCAAGCGUUAAUCGGAAUUACUGGGCGUAAAGCGCGCGUAGGUGGUUUGAUAAGCGAGAUGUGAAAGCCCCGGGCUUAACCUGGGAACGGCAUUUCGAACUGUCAGGCUAGAGUGUGG
rnacentral:rRNA from 1 species